rnacentral:rRNA from 1 species
CCUACGGGGGGCAGCAGUGAGGAAUAUUGGUCAAUGGCCGCAGGGCUGAACCAGCCAAGUCGCGUGAGGGAUGACGGUCCUAUGGAUUGUAAACUUCUUUUGUCAGGGAGCAAAGUGCGCCUCGGGUGGCUUUUUGCGAGUACUUGAAGAAAAAGCAUCGGCUAACUCCGUGCCAGCAGCCGCGGUAAUACGGCGGAUGCGAGCGUUGUCCGGAAUUAUUGGGCGUAAAGGGUGCGUAGGCGGCAUGUAAAGGCAGGUGUUAAAGGCGCGGGCUCAACCGGUGUAUGGCAGUUGAUACUUGCAGGCUGGAGUGCGGUAGAGGUAAGGGGAAUGCGUGGUGUAGCGGUGAAAUGCUUAGAUAUCAGGAAGAACAUCGAUGGCGAAGGCAGUUUACUGGGCCGUAAUUGACGCUGAGGAACGAAAGCGAGGGUAGCAAAUGGGAUUAGAUACCCUUGUAGUC